rnacentral:tRNA from 1 species
GGGGCGUUAGUAUAAUUGGUAAUACACUUCACUUUUAAUGAAGGUUAUGUGGGUUCAAGUCCCAUGCGUCCCA